AGAAAACAGUCUCUGAAUUUCCUUUAUUAUCUACCUGUGUGUCUGAAUUAAAGAACCAGAGUUUUAGUAGGUAUCCUCUAGUUGUUUAUUGCUGGUUUUUGUUUGUUUGUUUGUUUGUUUGUUUGUUUUCCUUUAUUGUGACCUUGCUGGAUGAGAGGAUGGAGAGAAUGUUUCCUUGGUGAAGUGUGAGGGAUUAUUGAGUCUUUACGGUUUCUCUCUAAUAGUGAUGUGACUUAUUGUAGCACUUUCCCCUGACAGCAGCAAUGUUUAUUUCUAAAGUAUCAUUUUCAUACUUAAGCACAUGCAGUGCUAGAUUGGAAAACUUCUAAUGACAAUUGCAUGGCAUGUUUGUUUUUAAAUGGUUAUGUUGAACGACGGCAGAAAAAUUAAUCUGUAGUUUUUAAAGAUCUGUGAUUUUUAUAUCUGUUAUUUAACAGAGCCAUAAUGCCAUCACCGAGCGCUGCCAGUUGGGUAUAAAGUGCAGUGUGUAACACUUUCUGGUGGCAGAGUUGCUCUAAGUGGAGAAAUAAUUUAAGCGGUACAAGGAUUUUUAUGGCACUCUUGUCACAAUUAGCUGUGUUUAUGAAAUAUGAAUUUACACAACAUCUGCCUUUCGGGGCUGGCGUUCCCCUCGGAGCCCGCUCGCUUCCCAGACCGGCAGUGUUGUGCCUGGAGCAUCAUGAUAGGGCAGGAUGGAUUGUGUGGUGGAUGGACAACCGUGGCAACAUAAGGAUUCACUUGAUAGAUGUGGGUGGGGAAUUUGUGCAGGAAAUGCAGAUGGUUUAAAGUGUAAAACCUUUCGGUUUCUCUUUAGCAGGGCGGCUUGCUUAGGCGCAGCAAGGUCCCUGACCUGCAACUGGCUUGUCCCGUUCUCGCUCCUCACAGUCUUUCUGCUCAUCCCUUUAAUUUUUGUGCUUCCCUGUAGGCAAAAAGGGUGGCAUGUGUGGUGUGCUGGUGGGGUGGGAUUUAGGGUCUGGCACACACCAUUACAGUGGAUUUUGGAGGGAAUAGUCCUCUCUAUCCCGAAGCUGCAGAUGAGGACUUGCAGUGAGGUGGGUGAAUCCAGCUGGACCUUGCAGCAUCAAAGUGCUGGUUUGUCUCCUCCAAACUCUCCUCUUUCACAUGCCUCUUGGUGGUCACCCCCUUACCUGAGGGUUUCAGGCAUUUUACAUGGUUACAUCUGUCAAAUUUGUCUCAUCGUGGACCACUGUGCCUUUUACUGUUUUAUUUUCCUCCAGCACAUGGUGGAGGGCUCCUCUUGCCCCUCCUGGCUAAACUCAGAGAUGGUCAUUAAUAUCUAACUGCUAAAAUUUUUGUAAGCAUCACAGGAAAGUCAAGUUCACAGAAGGAUAAAGUAGCCUGAGAGACACUGAUGCUCCUCCUUCGAUAAGGGCUGGCUUUGGGGGAGAGAGCAGGAGGUGCUUUACAAAAGGUGGAGAUUCCCAUCAUGGGCCAACUUGGGGCACAGGUAGCUUUUCACACCAAUGGGAAGCGGGCACAAUGAUGAGAGACUGUGGAAAAACGUUAAAAAUAAUUCUAUGCCGCUUCUCCCACUUUCCAUACCUUGCCUAUCUUGUCUAGUGAAUGCUUCAGAUCUGGCACUGCCCCUCAGGGCAGAAGCUGUGCAAGUGCAAAGGUCUCAGCCUGGCCCGUCGGGAGGGGCAACAUUCAGUAUGUGGAGAAAUUGUCCUGAAACAUUCACAGUGAGUGCCGUUGGCACAACAUCCUGCAGAUUUUGAGGCCCAAUGUUAAGAAAUGAGUACUCAAACUUAGAGGUUGUACAACUUGGAGAGCCUGGCGCAAGGGUUCGGUUGGGUGGUGGGAGCGAUCUAAAUGCUCACUGCUAUUUUUGGCAUCAUUCGGGGCAAGAUAAUUGAGGUUGCUCAUGUAGCAAGCUCUGGUAUUGUGAAGACUAAGAGCAGACUGUGCUCUGUGUUACCUUUACAUCCACAUUUUAGAAGAUGAAGUAAAAAUAGUACCAAGUGUUACAUCUUGGUGAAACCAUCCAGCAAAACCUCCUUGUUCUUCCAUAGAUAUUUAGUCCAGCUUUCUGCUGCUGCCACCUGCUUCCAAUUGCUCUCUUACCAAUAUUUGCAAAUUAUUGUUACAACUGCUAGAUCAGAGUGAAAAUUAUGUGCAAUACGUUGUUAUAGUGGAGAUCAAUCAUAUUAUCUUAGAGCUAGUUUAAUCUGGUGAAGGAGAGAGUCCAAACUAGUUAAUUAUCUCUUCUUUGGGUUAUCCUUCUAUGAAAUGGGGAUAAUCAUAAUCAUAAAAUGUGCUUUAGGACUUAUUAAAUAUUUCUGAAGCACUUACGAAUCAUAGUUAAAAAAAUAAUUGCCUAGUAAAUUGUCUACUUAAUAAAAUGUAAAAGAUCUAGAAUAUAUUACACUUCAUAAUCAUUUAAAUAGAUGCAUGUAGUUUAUUUACCUGCUCAGUGAGAACUAACAACAUUGAAAGCAAAUAGGUGUUUAGGAGAACUAUAUUGGCAAAAUGAAAUUAUUUAAAUCAGGGUUUCCAGUUCACUAGUUUAAAUUACUUUUACAUUUAUGAUUUAGGCUUUGAUUUAAAGCAUACUUUGUGCUGUUAACGUUCAAAAUUUAUCAUCAACACUGAAACUGUGAACACAAAAGACAUUCUUGGCAAGACCUGCAGAAUGCAGUGUCAGUAUAUUUCUCUGGAAUGCUAGAGAUUUAGAAAACAAAACCUUCUUCUCGGUGCUUACAACUUUUGAUAUAUGGGGGAAAAAAAACCAAAACAAGCUGCAAAUGAUUAUAUUUUAGUCAACAGACUGAUGGGUGGCUGUUCCAACGGCCUGGAAGGGCCAAGGGCUGAGUAGAGAUACUGCUGGCAUUGUAGAGAUACUCUGUGUCAUUGGUCUUUUUAGAAUCGGAGGAAUAUUUAUAAAGAUUUUUUUGAAUAAAUAACAUCAAUUUCUUCAUCAAAUAUGAAAGGACUGAUAAUGUUUGCUCUUGCUUUUGUGGAUUAGGAGUAAUACCAAGAAAGAGACUUGUUGUGCAUUACCAACAGAAAUACUGCAGAAUGGAAGGGACUUUUUAGAGCUUUUUAUUCGUUUAUUGUUCUGCCGAGCAAUUAGAAAAACAAAAUCUCUUUACGUUGUCUUUACACUCAACAGAUUGGCAUUUGUUUUUCUCUUUCUUUAAAAAGCCCUCAAACAACCAACCAGCUGAGAUUUUCUUCAGUCGGGAAGGAAGUUUAGACCCAAAGUUUCCAGAAUUUGUGACUCUUAUUCUCAUGUUACUGCAGCUGGGAAUACGAAGGGGAAGGUGUAGGCUUUGCAUGAAGGUUGUGUGUAGCCUUCUAAGCUGUGCAAGGCUGUAAAUCCUCAAACCAGCUCUGCCUCCCAGCACUUUUACAUGGAUCCUGGUGUAGCCAUGGUGCUGUGUGGCCCCAGGGAUGGGGGUUCCAUAGGUGAUGCUCAGGUGAGAACAUGGUGCACUUACCUCUCCUGCUUGAUCUCUUCCGGAUAAUAAAAGGGGAUGGGCUGCUGUCUCUUUUCACAGGACUCAUAUAUCCUCAAGGAUUUUCCAGAAUUAAGUGCCUGUGAAAUUAGGAGCAGAGGAAUGGCUCUGGACAGGACUUACUAGCCCUUUACUUGCCUUUAGGAAAUGUUGUGAUUAGGGAUCUGAAUUACGCCCGUUAAGAAAUGGUAAUUUCAACUUUAAAUAACGACGCUUUAAAUUGUGAUUUGCAUUUGUAUCUUUAAGGGGUAAAUACCAGAUUGCAUAAGUAGUUUUGUACCUUCCUGUUUUCAUUCUUACUCAGACUACCUUGAAAUAGAAUAACCUCUGAGUUGUUACUGUGAUGUAUUGGUACCACAGUUUGAAAACCAAGAUCAAUAAUCAUAUUUCCUAUCUUCUUCAACAACAAAAAGAAAAAACUCCAUUAUUUUCUGAGCUGUUCAAAAAUGUUGCUUGCCUCAUUUUGUGUGUACCCACUUCAGUGACCAGAAUGUCAAUGGAGGCUUUGUUUAAAUGUUUUUCUUUAUUUUUUUCGCUCCACUCCCACCCACACAUACACCUGUUCAUCUAAGUCUUUUGGGCCAGAUAUUGGUUUAUUUGGUUGGGGCUUUAUGUUUUGUUUUUUUUUUCUUCCCCCAUCGUUCAGUUAACUGCUUGUUGUCAGCAAUUCUGGCACAUCCCCUUGUUUUCUGUGGAAAAAAAGGCUUGUUUCCAAUGGCAAAGAGUUAAUCUGGCUCAGAGUUAGAUUAACUGUUGCAGUAGCUCAUGAUAAACAUCUGUUGCAAUACUCCCAGAUGAGAACAUUGCUUUCAGAACUAUUUACUGCACGUUUUGAACCGUGCACUUUACUUGUGGUUUUAUUUUUUCCCCUCCAAUUACUAAAUUCUUUUGAAAGGACAUAAAUCCAUAAGAGUCUAUCUCGGAGACUGUGUUUAUUUUAUGAUACAGGGAAGGAAAUGUGGUUAUUGAGUUAUUGCUCAUGUGCUAGAGCGCCUGAAUACGUCUGACUGGAGCGCAGAGGCGUGUGCAUUCCUUAAUAAAAACCAACUGUGGAGCGGCUCCUGGGAGUGCUGCCGCGUGUGUCCGUGCUCUGCCUGUGGUGGAACCCUCUGGAUGCAGAUCCUCUGAGUGUUUUCCUCCUGCUCUGAGUUUGGCAAGAUAAGGCUGGCAGGGAAUGGAGUUUUACUUGGGCCUGGAACCCAAGGGUGGGUAUGUGGUUGGAACGGUUUGGCCAGUAGGACUUGGCCGUUGAGGAAACCUUCUGCUAUUUCUUUGGAACUUUUUUAUUUUUUUUCUUUUUUUAAUUAUUAAAGAAGUUUUUGAAUUCUAGAUAUUUAAUGGAUCAAACAGUGACAGCUUCUCCUGCAGCUGGCUUUUGAAGUUAGCUCUGCCAGCAGCCACUUCUCGCUGUAGCUGAGGAUCCAAGAGCAAGCAAGCAAAGCAAGCUUUGGUACAUUUUCCCAAAACAUCAACAACCUUCUCCCCCACCCCGCCCAAGCCACAAAACCAAACCAUUCUUGGUGUCUCUGGGAAAACACCAUUGGAAAACAACAUGGAAUACCUUAAAUGGUGUGUGUUUUUCCAACAAAUAGUUUUUCUUUCUUAUGCUAAUAAGGAAGAUCCUGUUAAUGAAAUCAUGUUCAAAGUGUUUCCCAUAUUUCUCAGAAGGUGAAAAAUAUUUUUGAGCUGAAUUACAUAUGCCUAAUGUUUCCUAACAAUAUCAGAGAAAAUAUCUGUGUACUUUACAAGUGUGUUGAUCUUCACCACGAUUAGCCCUCUCUGCAUAGCUGUCUAACAAACCUAGGCAAAGAAAUGGGUGACUUUCACACACUGAAGCUACUUUAGUAAAAUACAUCAGUCUGUAGCUUUAUUUCUUGCUGAUUUUCUUAGGUCUGGCAGAAACACUUGUUUUAGCAAUAAAUCUGUAAGAACAGCCGUUCUGGUUCAGAUCAAGCACAUCUAAUUCAAUAUCCUGUCUGUGAUGGUGAUCAGCAGCAGGUAUCUAGGGAAGCGUACAAGAACAGUGAUAAAGUGUUAGAAUCCAAGGUGAGAUUUCUUAGUUUACCAGUUUUAUGGUGCUAUCAGGAUUUUCAGAAUCUGCUUCCUAAACAUAAUGCUGAAAUGACAGGUGUGUGAUACUUAACAGCCUCGGCUUUCUCUUAAGGGCUGUGGUAGUGAUAGGAGGAUAAAAAAGGAAAAAAAAAACCUGAAAAGUAAUGGAUGGUACAUAAAAUAAAAAGAAAUAAUGGUAUAGACUGGGAAAAAUAGUGAAAAAGGAGCUAUAAUUACUGCAUAGUAUAAAGAAAUGGCAGGAGGGUACCCUCCUGCACUGGAGCUCACUAAGACCUUGGCAGGUUUUUAUCCAUCACUUGUGUCACAUCGUUUGGGCACAGGGAAGAGCAGGGCACAGCCAGUACAUGGAGAAAUAGUUGGCCUGAGCCUAGUUCAAGGCAAGAUGGUAGAGGGCAGACAAAUAAAGUGUGGGAGAAGAAACACAUGGGAAAGGGGAACGUGAGUGAAGGGAGUGUCAAAGGAACCUUUAGAAACUCGGGAUUAUUCUCUGUCUGUAAAUAUCUGACCAUCGAAAUUAGUGAGUAAGAGGUGUUGUCUGUGUAGGAAGUAUGUUCUGCAGGCCUGCACUGACUCCCUUGUGGCAUCACCGUAUUUUUCCAGGCUUCAAGACACCCAGGUUUUAUUUUUAGCGCUCCCCUGGGUUCUGUUUUAUGGUGAACCUGUCCCAGCUUGCUGCAGUCAUUACUACUAAGACCGUCUAAAUAGCAAAACUUGAAAAUACUUGGAGCAAUGUAAAUAGUAAUAAAUUAUUUUGUCUUAGUGUGGAUUAAAAGGUACACACUUUGGGUGGACUUGGUUUUGGGUCAGGUUUUUUGAAUGCUCUGGAGCAGGAGGAUGAUGAACCUUCCAUCAGUGGCGUGCAGAGGUAAUGGUGCUGUACUUUAAAUAGCAGACACGAGGGCGUUGUGACUGGGACAUUGUCGCUUUAGCAUUCGCUUCUUAAAAAGUAGAUUUUUUUUUUUUUUUUUAGGGAGCUUUUACAAAGGUGUGUGGAAAACUGUUAUUGACUGUCUAAAGUGAGUUCAAGAAUAAUGCUGGUGAGGAGGUGUUACAGUGGAUGAGGAGGUGUUACAGCAAACUGCUCACCAAAAUAAGUCGUGCUGCAAGCACGCAUCAAAUCUGGCAAAUUCAGGGUUUAUUGUGUGUGUGUCAGGAUGGAGAGAAGAGGAUGCAUUUGAGUACAAAAGGGCAAGAGCCAUCUUGAAUUUUAACACAGUGUAUGUAAUCCUAUGAGCAGCAAAGGGGUUUAGGACAACCAGAGGAAGUGGGUGCUUUGCGGUGCCUUACAGGAAGGACAGCUUCAUCUGUGCCUAAAGACCAGGCAAAGGGGGUUUCUCAGCUCAUAGAUAAGAGAGAAACAAAAGGAAGAUACAGAAGAGAAGCUGAAGAAGAAAGGAAAGAAAGAGAAAAAGUAGUGGAGAAAAUCAGAACAGAGUUGGCUUUUCUAAAAGGACUUGUCCGGGAAGCAAAAUGAGCAGCUUCCCUCCUGUAUUUUUUUCCUGUUUUUAGCCCAUCCCAGAUACUGCUAUUCCAAGAUAAGUGGGUCAGGCAAACGGGCAUAAUUAAUAGCGAUUUCACAGUUGCUGUGGGUAUGGGAGAGUGUAGUGGGAAGGGUGGAUUCAAGGAAAUGUUGGCAGGCUCUCAAUGGAAAGCUCCCAGCUGAGCCCCAGGUUGCCAUACCCAUCUUCUGCCAUAAGACUUUGGGCUGUGCCAGCCAGGUGGGAGCUGGAUCAAAGUGGGAAUAGAGCAGAUGGAUGCUCCGCUGGAUGCUCUAGUGGAUGAAGUGUAGCACAUCUUGAGUACACAGAAUUUAGUAUGGGACAGUUUGUAUUUGUGAGAGCAGUUGGGGAAAGGAUGGAUCAACCCUUUGAACAGCAUAGUGGGGAAACAAACUGCAAAGUGCCCUGACCAGGGGACAUAAUGGGACAUAAUGUUUUUCUGUCAGAUAUUCUGGGUUUAUUAGUAAGGAGUAUUUCCUGUGGCCUACAUGCACCUCUAGUUUCAAUUACACAGCUAGUUACAGUUUGAAGGUGUCGCUGCAGAGAAACGUCUUCAAAAAAAGUGAGCCAUAAACCAUGUAGUGCUGUCACAGAAGAUGGAAGACACGCCACUUGCCUUGUUCAAAUCUGCUUUUUGCAAAGUUGAAAUUUUAUUUGGUUUCACUCUUUUUUUUCCUGAUGGAGCCAGGCUACUAUGAACAGCUGUGCUGCAUCCUGGUCAGGGUUAAUGCCAUGUUUUCGGAUGCUCCUGAGGCCCUGGUGGUUCUUUUCAAAUCCUGGUGUGCCCUCUUCUCUUGAGCAGGUCGAGCCCGUUGGAUUAGUGUUCCCAGCGGCCUCCGUGCUUGGAUUACACCCCCCAACAUCACCUGCUUGUGUUGCCACCAGGGCCUGCAAGAAAAGCUUCUAUCUCGUUGAAAAGGAAACACCUGAACAGGAGCUUUUUACACCCCUAUGAUACAUUCAACUCAGCCACCUUGGAAAUUCGCUGGGUGGGAGCAGCGUGCCCUGGUUGCUGUGGUAGAGGCUCAUAAACAGUCACUUCAUCCAGCUGGGACCUUUCAGGGCUGGCUGUUUGGGGACCACUGCCCUGCAUCCCUUGCUGGAGAUGGGUUGUUUGUGGGGGUGGACGUGGUGCUCGCAGAGGGGAGGCAAUGUACAGAACGGCCAUUCCGCAGAGUGGGAGUGCGACACCUCGGGAAGAUGAUCUUACUCUGUUUGCCUCCAGAAACCCAGUAAAUUAAUGUUUUUAGCUCUGUAAAUGUGCUUGUGGGUUGCAGGGUAGCUGGCUACAUACAUCUCGUGCUUUAAGCUCUUGAAUGCAGAGGAUGGUGUGGAAGCAUCUGAGGGUUUGGUUUUUUACACCAGAUCAAGUCUGUGUUUCAGAUUUUAGGGUGCAUUAGGAAACUUCAUCCUGCCAUUUCUCCACAUGGAUCUGACUGUGGUAUUGAACCUUUGUCCUUUUCGUGGAAAAUAAAAAGAUGAUUCUAUCAGUG